rnacentral:lncRNA from 10 species
UAGAUGGAGUCUUGCUCUGUCACCAGGCAAUCAUUAAUGAUAUUGGUUGUAAUUUUAGAGUUAUAAAAAAAAUAAGAAAAUGGGGAGAAAGAAAAGGGGGAAACAGGAAGAAGAUAAAGGAGAGAACAGAAAAAGAAGGAAAGAAGAAAGGCAGGAAAGCAGGAAGGAAGCAGCAAGGGAGGAAGAGAAGGAGGAAGACAGACAAUCACAAAGCAGACUUUUCAGGAUCUGGAUUCACAGCAAUAAGGAAUUACCAAUGGCAAUGCUAAGGAAAGAUGGCUGGCUAGAUUACUGCCAACAGGCUCUUCACUGAAAAAAAAAAGAAAGAAAAAGAAAAAAGAGAGAAACACUGAGC